AUACGUAGGGGGCAAGCGUUAUCCGGAUUUACUGGGUGUAAAGGGAGCGUAGACGGCGAUGCAAGUCUGAAGUGAAAACCCGGGGCUCAACCCCGCGGACUGCUUUGGAAACUGUGUUGCUGGAGUGCAGGAGAGGUGAGUGGAAUUCCUAGUGUAGCGGUGAAAUGCGUAGAUAUUAGGAGGAACACCAGUGGCGAAGGCGGCUCACGGCACUGUAACUGACGUUGAGGCUGGAAAGCUUGGGGGGCAAACAGGAUUAGAUCCCCUGGUAGUCCACGCCGUAAACGAUGAAUGCUAGGUGUCGGGGGGCAAAGCCCUUCGGUGCCGCCGCUAACGCAUUAAGCAUUCCACCUGGGGAGUACGUUCGCAAGAAUGAAACUCAAAGGAAUUGACGGGG
rnacentral:rRNA from 1 species